AGAGAUACCACCAGCUUCUGAUGGUGUUACACCCUGGAAAUGGCAGUCCAGCUCUAGCUUCUGGAAGGCAACUGGCAAGAGGUAAGGAAGAGAUGGUGGGAAGGUAGCCCCUCUCCUUGUUGGGGAGGAGCUUUCAUCUUAUUCCAGUUCUCAGCAGUAGAAGCUAUGCCUGGAGACUUCCAGGUGUCUCCUGUCCUGGUUCCUGCCUUGUUCUUUCUCUUUUCCCUCAUCCUCAUUUAUGUUUUCACUCCUCCUUCUCCAAUAUUCCAGAAUAUUCAUUCAUCCAUUCAAUGAAUAGGCAUUUAUUGACCACCUCCUUUGUGCCAAUUGCUGUUCUUGAUGCUGUGGUAACAGCAAGAACAGGACUGAACCCAUCCCAAUUUCCAUCUGAGCUACUUCUAGUAGAGGCUGGCAAAUAACAAACAAGUAAAUAAAAUGAAAAGCAUAAUUUGGGAGAGUGAGAAGUGCUCCCAAGGGCAGACAGAAUGGAGAGGGGAGCAAAGAAAGGGAAGGAGGGUGGAGGAGAAAGGGCCCAGCCUCUUAGUGCCUGACUAGCCCUUUGCUGUGAAGGCUCACCUUUCACGCUUGGCUUCUCCCUGAAGCUGGGAGCUA
rnacentral:lncRNA from 1 species